AGCGAACGCUGGCGGCAGGCCUAACACAUGCAAGUCGAACGAACUCUUCGGAGUUAGUGGCGGACGGGUGAGUAACACGUGGGAACGUGCCUUUUGGUUCGGAAUAACUCAGGGAAACUUGUGCUAAUACCGAAUGUGCCCUUCGGGGGAAAGAUUUAUCGCCAUUAGAGCGGCCCGCGUCUGAUUAGCUAGUUGGUGGGGUAACGGCUCACCAAGGCGACGAUCAGUAGCUGGUCUGAGAGGAUGACCAGCCACACUGGGACUGAGACACGGCCCAGACUCCUACGGGAGGCAGCAGUGGGGAAUCUUGCGCAAUGGGCGAAAGCCUGACGCAGCCAUGCCGCGUGAAUGAUGAAGGUCUUAGGAUUGUAAAAUUCCUUCACCGGGGACGAUAAGGACGGUACCCGGAGAAGAAGCCCCGGCUAACUUCGU
rnacentral:rRNA from 1 species